rnacentral:rRNA from 1 species
UGGUGGGGUAAAGGCCUACCAAGACCAUGAUACGUAGCCGACCUGAGAGGGUGAUCGGCCACAUUGGGACUGAGACACGGCCCAAACUCCUACGGGAGGCAGCAGUAGGGAAUCUUCCGCAAUGGACGCAAGUCUGACGGAGCAACGCCGCGUGAGUGAAGAAGGUUUUCGGAUCGUAAAACUCUGUUGUCGGAGAAGAACACGUAAGCGAGUAACUGCGCUUACCAUGACGGUACCCGACCAGAAAGCCACGGCUAACUACGUGCCAGCAGCCGCGGUAAUACGUAGGUGGCGAGCGUUGUCCGGAUUUAUUGGGCGUAAAGCGAGCGCAGGCGGUUCUUUAAGUCUGAUGUGAAAGCCCACGGCUCAACCGUGGAAGGUCAUUGGAAACUGGGGAACUUGAAUGCAGAAGAGGAGAGUGGAAUUCCAUGUGUAGCGGUGAAAUGCGUAGAUAUAUGGAGGAACACCAGUGGCGAAGGCGACUCUCUGGUCUGUUAUUGACGCUGAGGCUCGAAAGCGUGGGGAGCAAACAGGAUUAGAUACCCUGGUAGUCCACGCCGUAAACGAUGAGUGCUAAGUGUUGGAGGGCUUCCACCCUUCAGUGCUGCAGUUAA